rnacentral:tRNA from 1 species
GGCCGCGUAGCCAAGUAGUAAGGCAGAGCUCUGCAAAAGCUCUAUACGUGGGUGCAAUUCCCGCCGCGGCCU